UUUAUGGAGAGUUUGAUCCUGGCUCAGGACGAACGCUGGCGGCGUGCUUAACACAUGCAAGUCGAACGGAAAGGCCUAGCUUGCUAGGUACUCGAGUGGCGAACGGGUGAGUAACACGUGGGUGAUCUGCCUCGUACUUCGGGAUAAGCCUGGGAAACUGGGUCUAAUACUGGAUAGGACCAUGCUUUAGUGUGUGUGGUGGAAAGUUUUUUCGGUACGAGAUGAGCCCGCGGCCUAUCAGCUUGUUGGUGGGGUAAUGGCCUACCAAGGCGUCGACGGGUAGCCGGCCUGAGAGGGUGGACGGCCACAUUGGGACUGAGAUACGGCCCAGACUCCUACGGGAGGCAGCAGUGGGGAAUAUUGCACAAUGGGCGCAAGCCUGAUGCAGCGACGCCGCGUGGGGGAUGACGGCCUUCGGGUUGUAAACCUCUUUCGCUAGGGACGAAGCUUUU
rnacentral:rRNA from 1 species